GGGUUGUGAGGUUAAGCGACUAAGCGUACACGGUGGAUGCCCUGGCAGUCAGAGGCGAUGAAGGACGUGCUAAUCUGCGAAAAGCGUCGGUAAGGUGAUAUGAACCGUUAUAGCCGGCGAUGUCCGAAUGGGGAAACCCAGUGUGAUUCGUCACACUAUCGUUAACUGAAUACAUAGGUUAACGAGGCGAACCGGGGGAACUGAAACAUCUAAGUACCCCGAGGAAAAGAAAUCAACCGAGAUUCCCCCAGUAGCGGCGAGCGAACGGGGAGCAGCCCAGAGUCUGAAUCAGCUUGUGUGUUAGUGGAACGGUCUGGAAAGUCCGACGGUACAGGGUGAUAGUCCCGUACACCAAAAUGCACAGGCUGUGAACUCGAAGAGUAGGGCGGGACACGUGGUAUCCUGUCUGAAUAUGGGGGGACCAUCCUCCAAGGCUAAAUACUCCUGACUGACCGAUAGUGAACCAGUACCGUGAGGGAAAGGCGAAAAGAACCCCGGCGAGGGGAGUGAAAAAGAACCUGAAACCGUGUACGUACAAGCAGUGGGAGCACCUUCGGGUGUGACUGCGUACCUUUUGUAUAAUGGGUCAGCGACUUAUAUUCUGUAGCAAGGUUAACCGUAUAGGGGAGCCGCAGGGAAACCGAGUCUUAACUGGGCGUUAAGUUGCAGGGUAUAGACCCGAAACCCGGUGAUCUAGCCAUGGGCAGGUUGAAGGUUGGGUAACACUAACUGGAGGACCGAACCGACUAAUGUUGAAAAAUUAGCGGAUGACUUGUGGCUGGGGGUGAAAGGCCAAUCAAACCGGGAGAUAGCUGGUUCUCCCCGAAAGCUAUUUAGGUAGCGCCUCGUGAAUUCAUCUUCGGGGGUAGAGCACUGUUUCGGCUAGGGGGUCAUCCCGACUUACCAACCCGAUGCAAACUACGAAUACCGAAGAAUGUUAUCACGGGAGACACACGGCGGGUGCUAACGUCCGUCGUGAAGAGGGAAACAACCCAGACCGCCAGCUAAGGUCCCAAAGUCAUGGUUAAGUGGGAAACGAUGUGGGAAGGCACAGACAGCCAGGAUGUUGGCUUAGAAGCAGCCAUCAUUUAAAGAAAGCGUAAUAGCUCACUGGUCGAGUCGGCCUGCGCGGAAGAUGUAACGGGGCUAAACCAUGCACCGAAGCUGCGGCAGCGACACUAUGUGUUGUUGGGUAGGGGAGCGUUCUGUAAGCCUGCGAAGGUGUGCUGUGAGGCAUGCUGGAGGUAUCAGAAGUGCGAAUGCUGACAUAAGUAACGAUAAAGCGGGUGAAAAGCCCGCUCGCCGGAAGACCAAGGGUUCCUGUCCAACGUUAAUCGGGGCAGGGUGAGUCGACCCCUAAGGCGAGGCCGAAAGGCGUAGUCGAUGGGAAACAGGUUAAUAUUCCUGUACUUGGUGUUACUGCGAAGGGGGGACGGAGAAGGCUAUGUUAGCCGGGCGACGGUUGUCCCGGUUUAAGCAUGUAGGCUGAUUAUCCAGGCAAAUCCGGAUAAUCAAGGCUGAGGUGUGAUGACGAGGCACCACGGUGCUGAAGUAACAAAUGCCCUGCUUCCAGGAAAAGCCUCUAAGCAUCAGGUAACAUCAAAUCGUACCCCAAACCGACACAGGUGGUCAGGUAGAGAAUACCAAGGCGCUUGAGAGAACUCGGGUGAAGGAACUAGGCAAAAUGGUGCCGUAACUUCGGGAGAAGGCACGCUGGUGUGUAGGUGAAGUCCCUGCGGAUGGAGCUGAGACCAGUCGAAGAUACCAGCUGGCUGCAACUGUUUAUUAAAAACACAGCACUGUGCAAACACGAAAGUGGACGUAUACGGUGUGACGCCUGCCCGGUGCCGGAAGGUUAAUUGAUGGGGUUAUCCGUAAGGAGAAGCUCUUGAUCGAAGCCCCGGUAAACGGCGGCCGUAACUAUAACGGUCCUAAGGUAGCGAAAUUCCUUGUCGGGUAAGUUCCGACCUGCACGAAUGGCGUAAUGAUGGCCAGGCUGUCUCCACCCGAGACUCAGUGAAAUUGAACUCGCUGUGAAGAUGCAGUGUACCCGCGGCAAGACGGAAAGACCCCGUGAACCUUUACUAUAGCUUGACACUGAACAUUGAGCCUUGAUGUGUAGGAUAGGUGGGAGGCUUUGAAGCGUGGACGCCAGUCUGCGUGGAGCCAACCUUGAAAUACCACCCUUUAAUGUUUGAUGUUCUAACGUUGGCCCCUUACCGGGGUUGCGGACAGUGUCUGGUGGGUAGUUUGACUGGGGCGGUCUCCUCCCAAAGCGUAACGGAGGAGCACGAAGGUUAGCUAAUCCUGGUCGGACAUCAGGAGGUUAGUGCAAUGGCAUAAGCUAGCUUGACUGCGAGCGUGACGGCGCGAGCAGGUGCGAAAGCAGGUCAUAGUGAUCCGGUGGUUCUGAAUGGAAGGGCCAUCGCUCAACGGAUAAAAGGUACUCCGGGGAUAACAGGCUGAUACCGCCCAAGAGUUCAUAUCGACGGCGGUGUUUGGCACCUCGAUGUCGGCUCAUCACAUCCUGGGGCUGAAGUAGGUCCCAAGGGUAUGGCUGUUCGCCAUUUAAAGUGGUACGCGAGCUGGGUUUAGAACGUCGUGAGACAGUUCGGUCCCUAUCUGCCGUGGGCGCUGGAGAAUUGAGGGGGGCUGCUCCUAGUACGAGAGGACCGGAGUGGACGCAUCACUGGUGUUCGGGUUGUCAUGCCAAUGGCACUGCCCGGUAGCUAAAUGCGGAAGAGAUAAGUGCUGAAAGCAUCUAAGCACGAAACUUGCCCCGAGAUGAGUUCUCCCUGAGACUUUAAGUCUCCUGAAGGAACGUUGAAGACGACGACGUUGAUAGGCCGGGUGUGUAAGCGCAGCGAUGCGUUGAGCUAACCGGUACUAAUGAACCGUGAGGCUUAACCUUACAACGCCGAAG
rnacentral:rRNA from 1 species